GCCAGAGCCGUAUCACCCUGUAGUUCUUUCCUGAUUUCCCAUUGAAGUUAAGCAGGGUUGAGCCUGGCUUGUAUCUGGAUGGGAGACCUCCUGGGGAAAACUAAGGUUGCUGCUGGAA
rnacentral:rRNA from 1 species